GAUGAACGCUGGCGGCGUGCCUAAUACAUGCAAGUCGAGCGAACAGACGAGGAGCUUGCUCCUCUGACGUUAGCGGCGGACGGGUGAGUAACACGUGGAUAACCUACCUAUAAGACUGGGAUAACUUCGGGAAACCGGAGCUAAUACCGGAUAAUAUAUUGAACCGCAUGGUUCAAUAGUGAAAGACGGUUUUGCUGUCACUUAUAGAUGGAUCCGCGCCGCAUUAGCUAGUUGGUAAGGUAACGGCUUACCAAGGCGACGGGUAGCCGGCCUGAGAGGGUGGACGGCCACAUUGGGACUGAGAUACGGCCCAGACUCCUACGGGAGGCAGCAGUGGGGAAUAUUGCACAAUGGGCGCAAGCCUGAUGCAGCGACGCCGCGUGGGGGAUGACGGCCUUCGGGCUGUAAACUCCUUUCGCUAGGGACGAAGCUUUUUGUGACGGUACCUAGAUAAGAAGCACCGGCUAACUACGUGCCAGCAGCCGCGGUAAUACGUAGGGUGCGAGCGUUGUCCGGAAUUACUGGGCGUAAAGGGCUCGUAGGUGGUUUGUCGCGUCGUCUGUGAAAUUCCGGGGCUUAACUCCGGGCGUGCAGGCGAUACGGGCAUAACUUGAGUACUGUAGGGGUAACUGGAAUUCCUGGUGUAGCGGUGAAAUGCGCAGAUAUCAGGAGGAACACCGAUGGCGAAGGCAGGUUACUGGGCAGUUACUGACGCUGAGGAGCGAAAGCAUGGGUAGCGAACAGGAUUAGAUACCCUGGUAGUCCAUGCCGUAAACGGUGGGCGCUAGGUGUGAGGGUCUUUUCACGACUUUCGUGCCGUAGCUAACGCAUUAAGCGCCCCGCCUGGGGAGUACGGCCGCAAGGCUAAAACUCAAAGGAAUUGACGGGGGCCCGCACAAGCGGCGGAGCAUGUGGAUUAAUUCGAUGCAACGCGAAGAACCUUACCUGGGCUUGACAUACACCAGAUCGCUGCAGAGAUGUAGUUUCCCUUUGUGGCUGGUGUACAGGUGGUGCAUGGUUGUCGUCAGCUCGUGUCGUGAGAUGUUGGGUUAAGUCCCGCAACGAGCGCAACCCUUGUCUUAUGUUGCCAGCAUUUGGUUGGGGACUCAUGAGAGACUGCCGGGGUCAACUCGGAGGAAGGUGGGGAUGACGUCAAAUCAUCAUGCCCCUUAUGUCCAGGGCUUCACACAUGCUACAAUGGUCGGUACAACGCGCAGCGACACUGUGAGGUGGAGCGAAUCGCUGAAAGCCGGCCUUAGUUCGGAUUGGGGUCUGCAACUCGACCCCAUGAAGUCGGAGUCGCUAGUAAUCGCAGAUCAGCAAUGCUGCGGUGAAUACGUUCCCGGGCCU
rnacentral:rRNA from 1 species